CGCCGUCUGGCCAGGGGCCCUGGGGCCUCCGAGUUGGCGCCAGUGCUGUGUCUGAGGCGUCCUCACCACAGCGGAACCUGCUGGCUAAGGAAUAGUGAACACUUCCUAACUCAUUUGAUGGAGCCAACGUGUAAUCCUGUUGCCAAAACCAGGCAAAGACAUUACAAGAAAUUAAAGAUGAAAAAAAAAAUCCUCAACAAGGUCUUUGCAAACCAAACCCAGCAGACCGUGAUCAAGUGACAUUUAUCCCAGGAAUGCAAGAGUUUUGACAUACAAAAAUGGAUCAGUGUAACAUAUAUUAAUAGGAUGAAGGAAAAACAUACAAUCAUGUUGAUGCAGGAAAAGAAUUUGACAAAAUCAAGCACUGUUUCAUGAUAAAACAUUCAACAAAGUAGGAAUGAACAGAA